AAGUCAAUCUUCUCUAACUCGAAGAGUUUAUAUAUUAACAUCUAUAUCUAUACAAGAUAAAUGAACCUAAUGUGAUGUUGUAAAUAUUGGUGCAUUUUCCUAUAAACUUGGUUAAAGUUAGAGAAGUUUGACUUGG
rnacentral:pre_miRNA from 1 species